rnacentral:lncRNA from 1 species
UACUUUAUCUUAAGUCUGUUCAUUUUAGACAAGAUGGUCUUCUUGUUCUGUUUUAUGAACAACAGACUGGGGACUUGGAUAGUGAAAAUGGAACCACUCACGCCUUCACUUACCAGCUGCAUCAUGAAGAUGUGCUCAGGUGUUGUGGGAGAAAAGGUGGUUAGAGAAAUUACCUUAUGAUAAGCAAGUGUGGACAAGGAUCAAAUAAGCAGAA